rnacentral:rRNA from 1 species
UGAGUACGAGAUGCUACGGCAUCGAAGCAGUCUAUGUCAUACUUCCAAGAAAAGCUUGCACUGUCAGAAACAGAUAAUGCCUGUACCAUAACCGACACAGGUGGGUAGGUAGAGUAUACUAAGGGGCGCGAGAUAACUCUCUCUAAGGAACUCGGCAAAAUGACUCCGUAACUUCGGGAGAAGGAGUGCCUUAUUUUUAAGGUUGCAAUAACAAGAUCCAAGCAACUGUUUACCAAAAACACAGGUCUCCGCUAAGUCGUAAGACGAUGUAUGGGGGCUGACGCCUGCCCAGUGCCAGAAGGUUAAAGAAGUCGGUUAGCAUUCGCGAAGCUGGUAACUGAAGCCCUGGUGAACGGCGGCCGUAACUAUAACGGUCCUAAGGUAGCGAAAUUCCUUGUCGGGUAAGUUCCGACCUGCACGAAAGGCGUAAUGAUUUGGAUACUGUCUCGGAGAGGGGCUCGGUGAAAUAGACUUGUCUGUGAAGAUGCGGACUACCUGCACCUGGACAGAAAGACCCUAUGAAGCUUUACUGUAACUUGAAAUUGAAAUUGGACUUAUUUGCGCAGUAUAGGUGGGAGGCGUUGAAAAUAUUCUUGCGGGAAUAUUGGAGCCAUCAGUGAGAUACCACUCUUGUAAUGUUAGAUUUCUAACUUUAUAUCAUUAUCUGGUUAAAGAACAGUUUCAGGCGGGCAGUUUGAUUGGGGCGGUCGCCUCCCAAAUGGUAACGGAGGCGCACAAAGGUUUCCUCUGAACGGGUAGAAAUCGUAUCUAGAGUGUAAAGGCAUAAGGAAGCUUGACUGUGAGACCUACAAGUCGAGCAGGGACGAAAGUCGGUCUUAGUGACCUGACGGUGCUGAGUGGAAAGGCCGUCACUCAACGGAUAAAAGUUACUCUAAGGAUAACAGGCUGAUCUCCCCCAAGAGUUCACAUCGACGGGGAGGUUUGGCACCUCGAUGUCGGCUCAUCGCAUCCUGGGGCGGUAGUACGUCCCAAGGGUUGGGCUGUUCGCCCAUGAAAGCGGUACGCGAGCUGGGUUCAGAACGUCGUGAGACAGUUCGGUCCAUAUCCGGUGUAGGCGUUAGAAUAUUGAGAGGAGCCUUCUUUAGUACGAGAGGACCGAGAAGGACAUACCUCUGGUGUACCAGUUAUCGUGCCAACGGUAAACGCUGGGUAGCUAUGUAUGGAGUGGAUAACCGCUGAAAGCAUCUAAGUGGGAAGCCCACCUCAAGAUAAG